rnacentral:lncRNA from 1 species
UAAAUAUUAAUUGAUCCACACGACAUGUGUUCACCAAAAUAACAUAUAACAUACAUAUGUAACCACAAACUCUAGUUCUCAUGCAACAAACAACCAACGAACUUCGCAAUACUCAAAUACAAGUUCUUUUACAACUCUCCAACGAGGCAACGACACAUAGGUCGACUUAUUUCACAAUACUCACAUAUUUAUCUCGAGUCAUAGUGAUAGUACUCAGGCAUGUUGGAGGGAUCGUGAUAUUGUUCCAAUCCGUUAUAGUGAUAGUGAUAGGUCUAUACAAAAUAUAUGAGAUACAUUAGCGGGAAAACAAGAACGACAAAUAAAUAUUUAUCCACAAAGCAAAAAAAACACAUCGGUAUGUGUGUUUAGAGAUGGCAAUGGGUACCCGCGACCUGAUACCCGACGGGUAUUUACUCCAUUAAGAUAUGUAUGUGGGCUAAAUAUUCUACCCGUGGGUCUGUUAUUGGGCAAAAAUCUUCACCCAAUGGGUAAACGAGUAUUAGAACGUUCUACCUUCACCCAUACCCGUUAACCCGUGGAUAUAAAAUAUCCAAUAUAAACUUAGCCCAAACAUAAACUUGGACUUUAGUCAUCCAUCUUUUUUACUAUUUAACAACCUUUUAGGUCAUAGUGUCAUAGAAGACUUAACAACAAUUUAAUGACCAUGUAAUGGAACAUGUAAUGUGCUAUGUAGUACUGUUCUAGUGUUACUACUUUAUCCAAUUGUCUUUGGUGUGUUGAAUGGAUGGUUAAAUGAUGCUAGAAAUUUUGUAAUGUUAUUUAGAUGGAUAUACUUGACAUUUGUAUAAUAUAAUAUUUUGAUAGAUUUUUAAUUUUUAUGGGUACGGGUGACCCAUACCCACAUGGGUAUGGGUAUGGGAGUAAAUCCAUAUCCACCGGUGUAUAUGGGUGAUCCAAUGGGGUUAUUUUUUGUCGUGGGUAUGAGUAUGGGGUACUAAUACCCGGUGGGUAUUUACCCAUUGCCAUCUCUAGGUGUGUUUGAUGUUUGUGUACCCACGGUUUACAAAACCGUUUUGUAUACUAAAACCGCUACCCACCGGUAACGGUUUACCAACGGUAAACCGAUAAAAACCGGUAAAAACCGACCGGUUUGAUCAAUUCAAAUCAAUUUGAAUUCGAAUCGGUUUACCGACAAAAAACCGGUGAAAAACCGCUCUAAACCGCCGGUUAACCGCGAAACGAAUCGGUUUUUGCUGUUUUUUACAUAAAAAAUGGAAAAUUUUGACAAGAUUUAUUUGUAGUUUGCUAAAUUCACAUUGCAUAGUAAAUAUUAAUUGAUCCACACGACAUGUGUUCACCAAAAUAACAUAUAACAUACAUAUGUAACCACAAACUCUAGUUCUCAUGCAACAAACAACCAACGAACUUCGCAAUACUCAAAUACAAGUUCUUUUACAACUCUCCAACGAGGCAACGACACAUAGGUCGACUUAUUUCACAAUACUCACAUAUUUAUCUCGAGUCAUAGUGAUAGUACUCAGGCAUGUUGGAGGGAUCGUGAUAUUGUUCCAAUCCGUUAUAGUGAUAGUGAUAGG